rnacentral:rRNA from 1 species
GACGAACGCUGGCGGCGUGCUUAACACAUGCAAGUCGAGCGGAGCGGCGAACGGGUGAGUAACGCGUUAGUAACUGCCCCCCUCCCUGGGAUAACAGUUGGAAACGGCUGCUAAUACCGGAUAGUGGGGGAUGACUCGCGUCCUAUCAGCUUGUUGGUGGGGUAGUGGCUUACCAAGGCGACGACGGGUAGCCGGCCUGGGAGGGCGACCGGCCACAUUGGGCUGAGAUACGGCCCAAACGCCUACGGGAGGCAGCAGUGGAGAAUAGUGCACAAAGGGGGAAACCAUGAUGCAGCAACGCCGCGUGCGGGAUGACGGCCUUCGGGGUGUAAACCGCUUUCAGCCAUGACGCGGUAGUGGCAGAAGAAGCACCGGCUAACUACGUGCCAGCAGCCGCGGUAAUUC